rnacentral:rRNA from 1 species
UGGGGAAUCUUGCACAAUGGGGGCAACCCUGAUGCAGCGACGCCGCGUGAGCGAUGAAGCCCUUCGGGGCGUAAAGCUCUUUCGACCGGAACGAUAAUGACGGUACCGGGAGAAGAAGCUGCGGCUAACUACGUGCCAGCAGCCGCGGUAAUUCGUAGGCAGCAAGCGUUGUUCGGAGUUACUGGGCGUAAAGAGUGCGUAGGCGGUUUUCUAAGUUCGGUGUGAAAUCUCCCGGCUUAACUGGGAGGGUGCGCCGAAGACUGGGAAGCUGGAGUGUGGGAAAGGCAGGCGGAAUUCCUGGUGUAGCGGUGAAAUGCGUAGAUAUCAGGAGGAACACCGGCGGUGUAGACGGCUUGCUAGACCAUAACUGACGCUGAGGCACGAAAGCGUGGGUAGCAAACA